GCCAGAGUGGCGGAACUGGUAGACGCGCUGGAUUCAAAAUCCAGUGAAGGCAACUUCGUGUGGGUUCGAGUCCCACCUCUGGUA
rnacentral:tRNA from 1 species